AUGGCGGCCGCGGGAAUUCGAUUAGAGUUUGAUCAUGGCUCAGGACGAACGCUGGCGGCGUGCCUAAUACAUGCAAGUCGAGCGGAGCUAGUCUUUUCUUCGGAAAAGAUGAUGCUUAGCGGCGGACGGGUGAGUAACACGUAGGUAACCUGCCCAUAAGACUGGGAUAACAUUCGGAAACGGAUGCUAAUACCAGAUAAUCAAGUUUCUCGCAUGAGAGACUUGGGAAAGGCGGAGUAAUCUGUCACUUAUGGAUGGACCUGCGGUGCAUUAGCUAGUUGGUGAGGUAACGGCUCACCAAGGCGACGAUGCAUAGCCGACCUGAGAGGGUGAUCGGCCACACUGGGACUGAGACACGGCCCAGACUCCUACGGGAGGCAGCAGUAGGGAAUCUUCCACAAUGGACGAAAGUCUGAUGGAGCAACGCCGCGUGAGUGAUGAAGGCCUUCGGGUCGUAAAGCUCUGUUGCCAGGGAAGAACGCUCAGGAGAGUAACUGCUCCUGAGGUGACGGUACCUGAGAAGAAAGCCCCGGCUAACUACGUGCCAGCAGCCGCGGUAAUAAUCACUAGUGAAUUCGCG
rnacentral:rRNA from 1 species